rnacentral:rRNA from 1 species
CCUACGGGGGGCAGCAGUGGGGAAUAUUGGGCAAUGGAGGAAACUCUGACCCAGCAAUGCCGCGUGAAUGAAGAAGGUCUUCGGAUUGUAAAGUUCUUUAGUCAGGGAAGAAAAAAAUGACGGUACCUGAAGAAUAAGCUCCGGCUAACUACGUGCCAGCAGCCGCGGUAAUACGUAGGGAGCAAGCGUUGUUCGGAAUGACUGGGCGUAAAGGGUGCGUAGGCGGUUGUACAAGUUAGAAGUGAAAUACCCAGGGCUUAACUCGGGUGCUGCUUCUAAAACUGUAUGACUUGAGUGCAGUAGAGGUUAGUGGAAUUCCUAGUGUAGCGGUGGAAUGCGUAGAUAUUAGGAGGAACACCAGAGGCGAAGGCGGCUAACUGGACUGCAACUGACGCUGAGGCACGAAAGUGUGGGGAGCAAACAGGAUUAGAUACCCGAG